rnacentral:rRNA from 1 species
AUUGAACGCUGGCGGAAUGCUUUACACAUGCAAGUCGAACGGUAGAGGGGGCAACCCCUUGAGAGUGGCGAACGGGUGAGUAAUAUAUCGGAACGUGCCCAGUCGUGGGGAUAACGUAGCGAAAGUUACGCUAAUACCGCAUACGAUCUAAGGAUGAAAGCGGGGGAUCGCAAGACCUCGCGCGAUUGGAGCGGCCGAUAUCAGAUUAGGUAGUUGGUGGGGUAAAGGCUCACCAAGCCAACGAUCUGUAGCUGGUCUGAGAGGACGACCAGCCACACUGGAACUGAGACACGGUCCAGACUCCUACGGAGGCAGCAGUGGGGAAUUUUGGACAAUGGGCGCAAGCCUGAUCCAGCAAUGCCGCGUGCAGGAUGAAGGCCU